rnacentral:rRNA from 1 species
UACGUAGGGUGCGAGCGUUAUUCGGAAUUACUGGGCGUAAAGCGUGCGCAGGCGGCCCGUUAAGACAGGUGUGAAAUCCCUGGGCUCAACCCAGGAAUUGCGCUUGUGACUGGCGGGCUGGAGUACGGUAGAGGGGGGUGGAAUUCCUGGUGUAGCAGUGAAAUGCGUAGAGAUCAGGAGGAACACCGAUGGCGAAGGCAGCCCCCUGGGCCUGUACUGACGCUCAUGCACGAAAGCGUGGGGAGCAAACAGG